rnacentral:rRNA from 1 species
AGUAGCCGCGGUAAUUCCAGCUCCAAUAGCGUAUAUUAAAGUUGUUGCAGUUAAAAAGCCGUAGUUGAAUUUUAGGCUUGGCCAGGCGGUCCGUCUUUGGCGAGUACUGUUCUGUGUCGGUCUUUCUUUCUGGUUAACCGGUGUGCUCUUUAUUGAGCGUGCCGUGGGAGCCAGGACAUUACCUUGAAAAAUUAGAGUGUUUAAAGCGGGCAUUUGCUUGAAU